GUACAAUGAUGACCAACUUAGGACACCUUUGUAGGUUACGACCUAUGAAAACAAACCAAUGUUCUGAGUACG
rnacentral:snoRNA from 1 species